rnacentral:lncRNA from 1 species
AUGCUCAAAAUUCUCCAAGCCAGGCUUCAGCAAUACGUGAACCGUGAACUUCCAGAUGUUCAAGCUGGGUUUAGAAAAGGCAGAGGAACCAGAGGUAAAAUUACCAACAUCCACUGGAUCACAGAAAAAGCAAAAGAAUUCCAGAACAUCUAUUUCUGCUUUAUUGACCAUACCAAAGCCUUUGACUGUGUGGAUCACAGUAAACUGUGGAACAUUCUGAAAGAGGUGGGAAUACCCGAGCACCUGACCUGCCUCUUGAGAAACCUAUAUGCAGGUCAGGAAACAAGAGUUAGAACUGGACAUGGAACAACAGAUUGGUUCCAAAUAGGAAAAGGAGUACGUCAAGGCUGUAUAUUGUCACCCUGCUUAUUUAAAUUAUAUGCAGAGUACAUCAUGAGAAACGCUGGACUGGAAGAAACACAAGCUGGAAUCAAGAUUGACGGGAGAAAUAUCAAUAACCACACAUAUGCAGAUGACACCACCCUUAUGGCAGAAAGUGAAGAGGAACUAAAAAGCCUCUUGAUGAAAGUGAAAGAGGAGAGUGAAAAAGUUGUCUUAAAGCUCAACAUUCAGAAAACUAAGAUCAUGGCAUCUGGUCCCAUUACUUCAUGGCAAAUAGAUGGGGAAACAGUGGAAACAGUGUCAGACUUUAUUUUUUGGGGCUCCAAAAUCACUGCAGAUGAUGAUUGCUGCCAUGAAAUUAAAAGACACUUACUCCUUGGAAGAAAUGUUAUGGCCAACCUAGAUAGCAUAUUCAAAAGCAGAGACAUUACUUUGCUGACUAUGGUCCGUCUAGUCAAGGCUAGGUUUUUUCCUGUGGUCAUGCAUGGAUGUGAGAGUUGGACUGUGAAGAAAGCUGAGUGCCGAAGAAUUGCUGCUUUUGGACUGUGGUGUUGGAGAAGACUCUUGAGAGUCCCUUGGACUGCAAGGAGAUCCAACCCAUCCAUUCUGAAGGAGAUCAGCCCUGGGUGUUCUUUUGAAGAAAUGAUGCUAAAGCUGAAACUCCAGUACUUUGGUCACAUCAUGCGAAGAGUUGAUUCACUGGAAAAGACUCUGAUGCUGGGAGGGAUUGGAGGCAGGAGCAGAAGGUGA